GCUAUCAUAUUGUCCCUGAUAGUCAAUGUAUUUUCUUCGUCGUUUCUAGUUAUCUUUAAAUGAUGGUCAGAGGAUGAGAUUUUAUACACUUUUGACCGGGUGAAGUAAGGAUGUUCUGCCAGCUUAUUUCAACAUAGAGUAGUUUUCUAUUAUCUCUAAAGUAAAAUAAUUCAAAGGCAGAUGUGUUAGUUUCCAUAUGUGAUAAGUAAUGCAAGAUAUUUGACAAGAAAUAACCACGUAGAGUUGUUUGUGUCAUAGCCAAAUUGAUCCACAUGAGCAUAGUGGAUAAACUUGUCUUUAAUUUAAACAAACACACCUAAACACAAAAGACAGUUAUAUCACAUAAACAUUAUAAUAGUACGUCUCCUAACUGGGGUGACCCUUUUGAGCCAAGGCUUAGACUUGACGAACUUUGAAGAAAAUAUACGCCCUUUUUAAAGAAAAUCCAUUAUCCUCCAAUCUAUACAAACAACAUAAAUUCCUACAAAAGUCGCAUAUAGGGGAUACAACCUUUGGGGAAAGAAAAAUAACAUGAGAAAAGGAAUGAUGUCCCACGCAGGGGAUAGAAAAUACUAAUUCCUGAAUGCUUCUUCUAUGGCCUUCUCCCUCUAAGCUUUGUCCACUCCUCGUUAUUGGCGACAUCCGUUAAUGACCAAGUGGUUUCCGUAUAACUGUGCCAUAGAUGCCAUGCAACUGUCCAAAUUGAUCAAUUUCUUGCUUGACUUGUUUCGAUUUCUUCGUCAAUCGGUGUACAAUUGAGGUAUCCUUAUACUAAAGUAAAGCAAGUCUUCUCCCAUCCCCUCAAAGGAUAAUGGAUUGGAUUAAAUACACAUAUAUUCUUCAACACAUAGAUAUGAUUCAACUAUAAUUGACUCGAGGUCAGUAGACGCAGGGUAAGUUUUCUAAUGGUCCCAAUAUCCCCUCGAGUAUUAGGUCGUCCUAGGUUCAUGCCUAAAAUAGGGUUUUGGCUUCACUCUAUCCUAAGUGUAUAGAGUGGGUUUGAACCAGGUUCCCAAGUGGACGACUUGGGUUUGGAAAUACAAAUAGACAUCAAACGACUCACAUGCUAAUAAACUGUUGUAUUUCCAACAUAUUAUUUGGAAUUGAACAAUAGGGGUCGGAACAUCCACGAAACCCCAAAACAGUUUAAAUAAAUACAGGAAUAUGCUAUGAGAUGCAAUAAUUAAAUACGACAAAAUCAAAACAUAUAAACACAUAAAUAGUUAAUCAAAAGACGAAAUCAAACAUUUGGUUAGAAACUAGUUCAAAUCCUUUGCAGAGUCGCCAUUUCUGUUUUGAUGAAAUUUUGACUUUUUGAGAGUCGCCACUUAAUUUUGAAAAGGAAUUAGGAAACCUUUAGAGAGUUAUUUCGAAUGAUUCAAAAUAGGAAAAUCAUUUUAAGUUAGAGAUUCUACAUAAAUGGUUCUUAUUAACGUUUUAGGAAGGUGUUAGUCACCUAAAACUUCCGCUAACUUGCGGUUAUCCGGACUGUUUGAAAACGUCUUUGAUUAACUUAUAAAAGAUUAAUUUGUUGAAAAGUAAUUGAUUAGGAAAAAGUUUUUUUGCAAAAAUCAGUUUUUUAGCGACUUAACUAAGGAUUCAACUAGGUUUGCAAAGCACAUAAGGAAAACAAGCAUAAAGAAUAGGGGGAAGGGGAGGAACUAAGGGAUUUAGGCCAUUGGCCCAAACCAACAAAACCUAUCCUAGUCUAAUUGGGCCUUCAACCCAUUUCACCUGUCCUAAUCUAGCUUUCGAGCGUUUGGCUCGAAUCUUGCCUCCACCUAUGUUAAAUACAACCUUGGCUUCAUGGCCCGGAUGAAUGAAUAAAAUAAAUAAACAAAUAGAAUAAAUAAAGGAAACAAUAAUUAAAAAAAAUGAAAUAAUAAAUGAGACUUUUGUCUCUUAGCGGCUUAAAACGUGAACUUUGAUCCCUUUCCUUUCCUUCCGUCUUCUCGUAUCCAUAUGCCAAACGAUGGGCUUUUAGACCUUCUUUUGGGCUUAGUUCAACGAGGUGAGGCUCAUGGGCCCAUUUAAGGAAUACAAAGAGAGAAGGAACCCAUUUGAACUCCAAGGGAGGUGCAUGCAAGGAAAGGAAUGAAGAAAUUAUCAUACGUCUAAGAUUUUAACAAUUAAUAAGCUAUAGCAUUCAUGCUUCAUUCAAAUAAACUCACACACAGGUAAAAAUUUCACAGGAGGAAAAGUCUAUAAAGUUUGAAGAAAAUAUUCAUAAUCAAUUAAAGAAAUUUCAACUACAAGAGGAAAUAAAGCUUCAAAAAGAAAUUCCUAUGGUCUUUAGCGAAAUAAAGAUAACAAUUUAUCACUUUAAUGCCACAAAAGGACCCAAUUAAGCAUGUCACAAGAAAGAGUUACAACUCCUGGAUCCUACUACAUAAACCAUGGAUCACAAGCAACAUUCAAAUUCCAGAAUGCCAAACAUACAAAAUUAAAGACUUAAUCACUUUAGGCGAGGAAUACGAUAGCUGAAACUUCAAGAAAAGCAAGGCUAAAAUCUAUUGCCUUCGUUACCACUGGGUUAACAAACAAAUGAAAUUAAAACACUACAUAAACCCAAUUUUAGGUAAUUUAAUCAUGAGACAAGAUCCCACAACUUAAAAAGAAACUGUUAAGCGAAAUCCAAAUCACGAAACUUUAACCAUAAAAUCAAGUAUAACGAGAUACCAGUAGCCUAAAACUACUAAUCAAGAGUCAAAGUAUGAAACUUUAAUAACGGAACCAAUCUAUAACAAAAUACUAGCAACUCGAACUACUAAAAAUCGAAAUAUGACACUUUAGUAUGAAAUCAACUAUAACGGAGUACUAGUAUCCUGAACCAAAAUCAAAGCAUGCAACUUUACUAUGAAAAUAGCUACAAUGACACGCCAUUAUCCCAAAACAAUUUAACAGACUCAAAGCAAGAGACUUUAAACCAUGAAGCCAACCAUGACAACAUAUAAGCAGCCCGAAAUGACCAAGCAGAAUCAAACUUCAGACAUGAAACUAGCCUUAACAAGAUACCAGUAACUCAAAACAAAAUCAAAAGCAUGAAACUUUAAACAACAAACCAGCCUUACAAGAUACCCAACAACUCAAAACAGAAUCGAAGAACAUGAAACCUUAACAUAAAGUUAACUACAAACCUUAAGUAGUAAACAAAAAUGAGAGUAUUAAUUCAGACAUCUAUCAACAGCUACAUACAACUAUCAAAGCCAUCUACCAGCAAUCAAUCCCAGCAUGCAAUGUUAUUCAAGAUUUGCUUACAACUACAGAAGGUCCAGAUAAAGCAGAGGAAAUUGAAAGCUUAAAUGGAGUAGGAUAUUACCUUUUAGGGAGCAGCAAACAGAACAAACAGGCUAAAGUCGGGAUCCACCACCACCAGCAAUCAGUGAUAUCAACUCAAAAGCCUCUGAUUAAUCGGCUAAUUUUCAAAAGAAGAAAGAAAAGACAACUUUUUAUUGUGAAAGAAAACUCUUAGACGUCAGAAAUUUUCCCCUCUUCUUUCUUUUCAAAAAAAUUUUCUCUAACCAAAGUUUUCCCGAACCCCUUUUUCAAACCUCAAUUUUCAAACCAAUUUUCUCCCUAAAAUUCCUAACCCAAGAAUUUUCCCCCCCCAACCCCCUUUUUCACUCAACAGUGAGUUGUUUAUAUAGAAGGGGAAUGGGGGGUCUCUUCUCAGUCUUGAACGUUGUGGGAAAAAGCAAAUAAAUGGUAAUUUCGGGGAUUUUUCCAAAAGGAAUUCAAAAUUUGAACUCAAGAUAACGUUUUCCACCAACAACUCGUACAGAUUUUGGAAUUUUCUUGAUGAAAUCCAAAAUUCUCCAACAAAUGGAAUUGAAGGGAUCAAAUUUCUUUACCAACCAAUAGAAAUUGAGUAGGUGUGUACGAAUUCAUACUAUGGUACCCGAGAUUCAUGGGAUUGGAUUGUUGGAGGGGGCUAACUCACCAUAUUCUAAAAGAUUCGACCAAUUUCUUUGUGAAUAUGCAUGGGUCAGGGUCAAGUAGACUCAAAUAGAGUUGGGUCGAUUUUUUUUUACGCUGGUUUGGGUCUAUUUGGUGGAUUCGGGUCGGGUUUCACUGGUCUUUAGAGAUUAAGGACGUUGAUUAGGAUUUGGCUGGUGUUAAGGCGGAGAUUGGAGUUGUUUUGUCUAGUUGUUGUCGUGGUUUACUGUUUGAAGAAACAAAGGGACGGGCCCAGGUCAGAUUGUGAAUUGGGCUUAGGGCUGGUGUAGUGGAUUUGUAAUUGGGUUACGACUAAUGGGUUGGAGCAAUGGGACUGAUUGGAAUUGUUUUUUUAUUUGGAAAAUAAUGUAGGCUGGUUGUUGGAGAAAAUAUGCCUGUGGUUCGAU
rnacentral:lncRNA from 1 species